rnacentral:rRNA from 1 species
AGAACAACUCUCAGCAACGGAUAUCUUGGCUCUUGCAACG